CUGCGAAUCUUUGCAUUUGCUCGACGAAAACCAUGGAAGAAAACGUGCACACGAUUCAAAAUUUAUAAUUAUGCUUAUUGUUAUUAUGCUCGUCCCACGUGAUCUGCCGCAAGUUUCACCACCACCAACGGACACGAAUUUUAAGCUAUAUGAUAGUUGCAUGCCAUAUAUGGGCAUGCAACAAAAAUACAAAUUUUGGAUUGUUAUUGUCAACUGUCAAGUUCAGUUAUUUUUAGACAAUAUGGUG